rnacentral:rRNA from 1 species
UUUAAAUGUAAAAAUAAAAAUUAGAGUAGUAAUAGAUAUGUUCUUAAAACUUAAAAAAUUUGGCGGUAUUUUAUUCUAUUCAGAGGAACUUGUUUUAUAAUCGAUAAUCCUCGUUAUAUCUUACUUAAAUUUGUUUAAUUUGUAUAUCGUUGUCAUAAGAAUAUCUUAAAAAAGAAAUAAUAUUCUAAUUUAAUUAUUAUUUAAUAUGUCAGAUCAAGGUGCAGUAAAUAUUUAAGUAAAAAUGAGUUACAAUUAAUAUAUUAAUUAAUGAAUUAAAAAAUGAAUAUUUUUUAUGAAAGUGGAUUUGAAAGUAAAUUUAAAAAAAAAAUUAGAUUGAUUUUAGUUUUAAAAUGUGC